CCUGGGGCUGAUCAAAGGAGGGUGGCUUCUGAGACCAAAAGACUCAGUUGUGCCCAAAAGGCAGUUUCUGGAUGAGCUGCAGGCUGAGGGAAAGGAAAACAGAAAGCAGAGUGCGCUCCUAGGGGUGGUGGGAGGGAGGGCAUCUCUCUGCCUUUUUCUCUGAAACAGAAGAACAAACACAAGAGCUUUGCCUGUGUCCCAAUGUUGGCUCUAGGCAGGCUUGGCCUCCUCCCACCUGGGGGACAGCCACCACAGGAAGAAAAGCAACACAGGAAGAAGGGCAGUUGGCAGUUGGCAGGUGGCAGUUGGCAGUUGCCAAGGGCAGUUGGCAGUUACCAAAUACCCAGUGGCCUCCGACACUCAGAGAACUAUUGCCCUCAGCCACGUUAGGAAACCGGUGUGUGCUCAGCCCAGCCCCAAGAAGCUGAGAGCUCGUCCCAAAGAGAACUUCUGCUGGCCAAGAGCUGCUCUGGCCCUGCCCUGUGGCGAGAAGAGUCUGGGAACAAGGACAGGCUGGGAUUAGCCAGAGGUCGGCGAGGAGCAGAGCCUGGGGUUGAGCCCUGGUUUUGAAGCUGCCUUUUAUAAAAUUAAUAAAGGGCCGUAAGAAUGAGGGGACUGAGUUAAAAAGGUACAAGUUAAUGUCUGCAGGACACAUCAUCUAAGAGGCUCAUGAAAUCUCCUGUACAUCCUUACUUGAUCUGAGAAUAAUUAUUUUGAACAGAGGAUGACUGAACAUAAGUUCCUGUCCUGACAUGUCUUUCUCCGAAAGGAGCUUGCUUUCCAUCCCAAAGGCUGAGGAAUUCCUGAAACUCAUAGUUGUUCUGAUGAUUGGUUUGUAAAGGAAAUGUGCCAAAUGUUUCUGUAAAAUGAUAUCCCUGGGCCAGACCUGGAGAGGUCGAGCAGGUGACAGCCAUAUGUAGCUGAUGCCAAUAGCAAUUCCCUCUCUCAUCUUCCCAAAAAUGAACUCUCAAAGUCUGCAACCAAGCACUGUGUAUGGCUAAAAGGGCUUCCAAAUGACGUUGGUAAGUUCCUACCAUUUAUUAUCCAAUCCCUUUCUCUAAGGAAAUGGAAUGUCUGUGGUUUUUUAUUCUAGGUACUGUGGCUUCAAGGAUUAUAUUAAACUCCAAAAAAUUAUCAUCA